GCCACCCAGGUGCCCCAGUGCCUGUUCAUUUAAAGAUCUCUCUCCACUUUCUUCAUUAACUCAUUCCAAUGUUGAAACUGGUGUUGCUCAGAAAUAUUCUUUUCGAAAUGAAUCAUGCUCAUUUGAAAAUUUUUUUACCCUUGUGCCACUCCUAGUAGAGAGAAAAAAAAAUGCUGGCAGAGUAUAUAAUGGCAUAUUGACAUUGCAAUAUGCCGGGAUCAACGGGCUAGAAGCCAAGACCUGCCAGGCCCACUUUCUCCAUGGUUCACUCUAUUUCUGUUUGAGGACCACAUCCUUCCAUUAACCUAACAGUCCGAGUCUUAGAACCAUCACGGCCUCUUGAGUGAGAACUCUUGAAAACUGACUCUCAUGUUCCCUAUUUUCAGGUUUCCUGACCCGGGAGGGCAAAGGCUGAUGGCUAAGUGAGGUAGAAGCAAGGCUAGUCCUGCCUGAUUUGUGCUAAACCCCAGACAGGGAGUUGUGAGCCACUGUCACUCAUUUACCAGCGAUUUUCUUUCUUUUUUUUUUUUUUUUACCAGCGAUUUUCAAACGUUGUAAAAAUUGGUCAACCUAAACAGGGCAGAAGACUUACAGCACCAGUUCCUACUUUACAGAGAAAAAGAAAUUGGGGAUAACAAAGAUUUGGAGAGGAACAAAACAGCAAUCAAAAUGAUAAUACGUAGGAGUGCCUGGCUGACUCAGUCAGUGGAAUGAGCGGCUCUGUCUCGGAGAUGAAACCUUCCCUGCUCACUGUGAAUGAUUUCCUAAGGAUCAAUACCAGCUACCAUUCGAAGGCUUGCUACCCAUGGACUGGGCCCUUCACAUAUGCUCGUUACCUGCCAAAACCUCACUCAACCCUGCAAGGUAAGGAGCAGGCACACCUUUUUAUAGAUUUUUCAAAAGCAAGUUGUGGUGUUGUUGUUUUUAUAACGUUAGUUUUUUAAAUUUUUUUAAAGAUUUUAUUUAUUUAUUUGACACAGAGAGAGACUGUGAGAGCAGGAACACAAGCAGGGGGAAUGGGAGUGGAAAAGCAGGGGGAGGGGGAGAGGGAAAGCACACUGCCCACAGAGAACCUGAGGUGGCGCUGCAUCCCAGGACCCUGGGAUCGUGAGCUGAGCCAAAGGCGUUUGCUUAACCCACUGAGCCACCCAGGCGCCUGAGAACAAGGUUUUUGAGCAACAAGGCCACAACACGGAAAGUGAUGGAGCGGGGACUCCGCUCUGGACCAUCUGGCCUCGGCACCCAGGGCGCAUCCGGGCCCAGCAUGCAUCCCACGGGGCGUUCGGUGUUGGGCCGGUGCUCUGCCGCCCCACUCUGCUCCUGCCCUGACGCGGAGUGCGAAACGCCGGGGACUGGACGCUGCCGCCUCCUCUUCCCAGCCAGCUCUUCCGCUUAGGAUGAGUUUAGGGCUUAAGCUUGGCACUUUCUUCUCUUUAUUGGUUUAAAAAAUCGUUAAAAAAAAAAAAAUCGAAACUAGUACAUUGUUUAACAAUCCAAAAAAUCGAAAACAGAAGUGAAAAAUGUCCCGUACUUCAUGUUUCAUUUCCGGGCCCCAACCCUACUCUCCAGAUAGAACUAGUAUUAAUUGUUUUGACUUUCCCAUAUGUAUAUAAAUGCGCAAAUGAGGGGCCAGGAUGGCUCAUUCCGUGAAGCCUCUGACUUGGGCUCGAGUCAUGGCCUCAGGGUCAUGGGAUCCAGCCCCAGCUCCGCACUGGGCCACUGGUGGGGCGACCUACUCAGCGGGGAGUCGGCUUCGCCCUCUGCUCCUCCUCCCAGCUCCUGCUUUCUCA
rnacentral:lncRNA from 1 species